rnacentral:rRNA from 1 species
AUACAUGCAAGUCGAACGCGUCUCCGUUGAUGAUUUUAGGUGCUUGCACUUGAAAGAUUUAACAUUGAGACGAGUGGCGAACUGGUGAGUAACACGUGGGUAACCUGCCCUUGAAGUAGGGGAUAACACUUGGAAACAGGUGCUAAUACCGUAUAACAACCAAAACCACCUGGUUUUGGUUUAAAAGACGGCUUCGGCUGUCACUUUAGGAUGGACCCGCGGCGUAUUAGCUUGUUGGUAAGGUAACGGCUUACCAAGGCGAUGAUACGUAGCCGACCUGAGAGGGUAAUCGGCCACAUUGGGACUGAGACACGGCCCAAACUCCUACGGGAGGCAGCAGUAGGGAAUCUUCCACAAUGGACGAAAGUCUGAUGGAGCAACGCCGCGUGAGUGAUGAAGGGUUUCGGCUCGUAAAACUCUGUUGUUGGAGAAGAACAGGUGUCAGAGUAACUGUUGACAUCUUGACGGUAUCCAACCAGAAAGCCACGGCUAACUACGUGCCAGCAGCCGCGGUAAUACGUAGGUGGCAAGCGUUGUCCGGAUUUAUUGGGCGUAAAGCGAGCGCAGGCGGUUUUUUAGGUCUGAUGUGAAAGCCUUCGGCUUAACCGGAGAAGUGCAUCGGAAACCGGGAGACUUGAGUGCAGAAGAGGACAGUGGAACUCCAUGUGUAGCGGUGAAAUGCGUAGAUAUAUGGAAGAACACCAGUGGCGAAGGCGGCUGUCUGGUCUGUAACUGACGCUGAGGCUCGAAA